GUGGGGAAUAUUGGGCAAUGGAGGAAACUCUGACCCAGCGACGCCGCGUGCGGGAUGAAGGCCUUCGGGUUGUAAACCGCUUUCAGUAGGGAAGAAGCGAAAGUGACGGUACCUACAAAAGAAGCACCGGCUAACUAUGUGCCAGCAGCCGCGGUAAUACAUAGGGUGCAAGCGUUGUCCGGAAUUAUUGGGCGUAAAGAGCUCGUAGGUCGUUUGUUACGUCGGAUGUGAAAACCUGAGGCUCAACCUCAGGCCUGCAUUCGAUACGGGCAAACUAGAGUUUGGUAGGGGAGACUGGAAUUCCUGGUGUAGCGGUGGAAUGCGCAGAUAUCAGGAGGAACACCAAUGGCGAAGGCAGGUCUCUGGGCCAAUACUGACACUGAGGAGCGAAAGUCUGGGGAGCGAACAGGAUUAGAUACCC
rnacentral:rRNA from 3 species